GCAAGACAUGUAAUACUCAGAAUAGGGUCAGAGUUACCGUCCUUCUUCGCAACCGGAGAAGAUCGGCCUUCAAAAUCACAGAAAACCCUAGGUACAGAACCUUAGGUGUAAUCGUUAAAACUUACUGGAGAUAUGGUCAAAGGUGUCGGAACAGUACUCAAAACACCCGCUAAGUGAGAAUCGAACCAUCGGACAGUAGUAAAAGCACAUAUUUGACCACCAGAAACCCUAGAAGUCGAGAGCUCACCGGAAAAUCUCCGGAAAAUCUGUAAUAAUCUCUCAAACCGUUGGAGUGAAGAGAAUACAGUCAGAAAGCAUGAUGAAAACGCUCUGAAGC
rnacentral:lncRNA from 1 species